rnacentral:rRNA from 1 species
GGAAUUUUCCGCAAUGGGCGAAAGCCUGACGGAGCAACGCCGCGUGAGGGAUGAAGGCCUCUGGGCUGUAAACCUCUUUUAUCAAGGAAGAAGAUCUGACGGUACUUGAUGAAUAAGCCACGGCUAAUUCCGUGCCAGCAGCCGCGGUAAUACGGGAGUGGCAAGCGUUAUCCGGAAUUAUUGGGCGUAAAGCGUCCGCAGGCGGUCUGUCAAGUCUGCUGUUAAAGCGUGGAGCUUAACUCCAUUUCGGCAGUGGAAACUGACAGACUAGAGUGUGGUAGGGGCAGAGGGAAUUCCCGGCGUAGCGGUGAAAUGCGUAGAUAUCGGGAAGAACACCAGUGGCGAAGGCGCUCUGCUGGGCCAUAACUGACGCUCAUGGACGAAAGCCAGGGGAGCGAAAGGGAUUAGAUACCCCAGUAGUC